rnacentral:rRNA from 1 species
GACGAACGCUGGCGGCGUGCUUAACACAUGCAAGUCGAACGGAAAGGCCCUGCUUUUGUGGGGUGCUCGAGUGGCGAACGGGUGAGUAACACGUGAGUAACCUGCCCUUGACUUUGGGAUAACUUCAGGAAACUGGGGCUACUACCGGAUAGGAGCUCCUGCUGCAUGGUGGGGGUUGGAAAGUUUCGGCGGUUGGGGAUGGACUCGCGGCUUAUCAGCUUGUUGGUGGGGUAGUGGCUUACCAAGGCUUUGACGGGUAGCCGGCCUGAGAGGGUGACCGGCCACAUUGGGACUGAGAGACGGCGCAGACUCCUACGGGAGGCAGCAGGGGGGAAUAUUGCACAAUGGGCGGAAGCCUGAUGCAGCAACGCCGCGUGCGGGAUGACGGCCUUCGGGUUGUAAACCGCUUUCGCCUGUGACGAAGCGUGAGUGACGGUAAUGGGUAAAGAAGCACCGGCUAACUACGUG